UACGGAGGGUGCAAGCGUUAAUCGGAAUUACUGGGCGUAAAGCGCACGCAGGUGGCUGAGUCAGUCGAUUGUGAAAGCCCUGGGCUUAACCUGGGAAUUGCAGUCGAUACUACUCAGCUAGAGUAUGGGAGAGGGUAGUGGAAUUCCCGGUGUAGCGGUGAAGUGCGUAGAUAUCGGGAGGAACAUCAGUGGCGAAGGCGGCUACCUGGUACACUCCUGACACUCAGACGCGAAAGCUAGGGGAGCGAACGGG
rnacentral:rRNA from 1 species